UGGCUCCUUCAGGCUCUUGGGGCAAGAGGGCAGGGCAUCCCUGAGUCCCUUCCCAGAGCACGUUUGAUGCAGAGUUGGCACCAGGUGAGAAACCCCUGAAUGGCUUACGAGUGGUGGAUGGAUGUAGCUGGUCAGGUAGCAUGAGCUCAGGACCCAGCUGCAGUCGUGGGGUUGACACAAGAUGACUGGCAUAGUGAGAUGAAGAAAGUUGACAACUACCAUUUGCCGAGGUGCAGUCUUGGGUGUGCUGUGUCAAUUAGAAAAUUUCCCCCCACCCCACGCCCCACCCCCAGAGACAGAUGAAGAGUAUCUGGCUUAUUAUCUUUGUUUAGAGAGAAGCAAGCUGGCAGAGGUAUGGUUAACCUGCUGCAGAUGCCAGUGGAGACUUGGUCUUUGCGGGAGCCAUCCCGCAACCCACGGAGCCCAUUCCACAGAGGCUUUCUGUCUGUAUCUCCAUGUGUCUGGCUGGACUGAGGCUUCUCCGGGACAGAUUCUGUGGCUGGCUGACCCUGUCUGGCCAGCACCAAGCCCCCUGGGUGGAGAAGCAUGUGUCUCCCCCUGGGCGGAGGGCCCGUGUGAGAGAAGUGGCUUGCCAUCUCCUGCACACGAGAUCUUCUGGGGCAAAGAGGAAGCUGUGUUCAGUACUGCGUGUUUGAGUGUAUGCUACAAGCAAAACAUCAGCGGGCCUGGAGAGAGCUCAUCACUUCCACUACGCGUGUUGCCCGUCCAGGUGACUAUUAGGAUGCGCCAGGAUGAAGCCUUUCACACCGAGGAAGACUCAAAAAUCAUCUCAAAAAUUGCCCCGUUAACCAUGUCAGCAGUACCUUGAAAUAAAACAGAGAGGAAAAACUACA
rnacentral:lncRNA from 1 species